AUACAGAGGUCUCAAGCGUUGUUCGGAUUCAUUGGGCGUAAAGGGUGCGUAGGCUGUAUGGUAAGUCAGAUGUGAAAUGUUAGGGCUCAACCCUGAAACUGCAUCCGAUACUGCCGUGCUAGAGAAUUGGAGAGGAGAUUGGAAUUCAUGGUGUAGCAGUGAAAUGCGUAGAUAUCAUGAGGAAGACCAGUGGCGAAGGCGAAUCUCUGGACAAAUCCUGACGCUGAGGCACGAAGGCUAGGGUAGCGAACGGGAUUAGAAACCCUAGUAGUCC
rnacentral:rRNA from 1 species